UUCCAUUGUUGCUAAAGGCUAUAAUAUUGGUAUACAGAAUAU
rnacentral:tRNA from 1 species